CCAAUUUAUUUUGAUUUAAUUUAGUCUCCCCAUUAAAUACGUCCAAUGCCUCUUCAUUUCACCUUCCCACCACCACUGGUACUCUCUCGAGUAACUCCUUCCCACCGAGCUAAGCUAGCUACGACUAUAAAUACCGCACUCCAACGAAAACAAAAUUCCUCAUCGAAGUUGCUUAGAACCUGAACCGAAAUCCUCCUCCUCAUCAUCUAGUAGCAGUACUACUUGAUCAGUACUGUAUACAUGGCAUCAUCAUCUCCGACAUCCAGUUCUGCGUUAAUGAUAGCUGAUGGGGCUUCUUGGUUCUGUGCAGCGGUGAUAGUGGCCUCAUACUCGUGAGCGCGGUCAAGGAGGAUUCUGUCCCCUACGAGCCGGUCAGAGGAAACCUGCAGCUCCUUAACAGGGCCUGUGACGAAAUAUAUGUCGUAGGAGAAGGGGAAACCUUGCACACCAUCAGCGACAAGUGUGGUGACCUUUCAUCGUGGAGCAGAACCCGCAUAUCCAUGCCCGACGAUGUUUUUCCUGGCCUUGUUAUAAAGAUUACUCCCAGGCCUAAUCAGCCAUAGAAGACGUACCUAGCUUGUUUGUGGUUACACAGUCGGUCAGAUAGUUUUCUUUUCUUUUCUUUUUUCCCCCUUUCGGAGUAUCAUAUACUACUUACUCUUACUAGUCCUCCUAAAUUACAGAUACCUCUUCUUUCUUCUUUCUUUUUCUUUUUGCUCCUUUUUGGAGAAGGUGGUGGGCAUGCAUGCUUUUACCUGUAGUUGGUAUGUAAAAGGAGAAGACGAAACGUUUCUCCACGUAUUGUACAGCAGAAACAGAAUUGUAGGUGAUGAUUCCCCAUACGGCUUUUACUGGUGCAGAAAUGUUUGGUCCUAAUUACUCCCCUUUUCCUUCAUCACCAUUUUAAGUACUACUAGUAUUUAACCAUCGUCUUCGAGAUAUGUUAAGACUUAAUUGAUACAAGCAGUAUAUUUACGGAGUGAAUCAAUCGGUAUAUCUUCUCUUCCGAAGCUUUUCACCAGCUUUGAAAUGCUCUCGAUAGGUUAAUUUUUCUUAACCAAUUGUGACCUCUGUGUACUUUGAUCAAGGGAACCUAUUACUUUCUGAAGGACUAGAGCCUUGAUAUCACGCGAGGAUUUUCGGUACAGUUUUGGUAAAGCACGGCCUCACCCUCUCAAUAAGCUACUAGUAGGAAACAAAAGUAGCCUUCGCCCGGUUCCCGGUCCAUGCGUCUGAGGCGGAAGCUGUACAUGGGAACAAUUAAAAACAGCAGCAGCUAUAGGUUCCUCAAACCGGAUCGGGGGCCUCUGACUUCUGUGUCCAGCUCCAUCUACUUACGUAAAUUUUACCUAAUUUUAACGUAUAGUGGUACAACUUCAGUAUAGUCAUGAGCUAGGCAUCAAUUUGAUACAAAAUUUACAUUUUCAUUUAGUAAAUGGAACUGGGGAAACCCCAUUGCCCCCUCAAACCUGCCACACGUACCCCUGGAGGUUAACUGUACACAGCACAAAGUGGUGUCACAUAUGCCACGAUUUUGAUAA